CAGUCGCCGCGGGAAAACGUAGGUGGCAAGCGUUGUCCGGAAUUAUUGGGCGUAAAGGGCUCGCAGGCGGUUUCUUAAGUCUGAUGUAAAAGCCCCCGGCUCAACCGGGGAGGGUCAUUGGAAACUGGGAAACUUGAGUGCAGGAGAGGAGAGUGGAAUUCCACGUGUAGCGGUGAAAUGCGUAGAGAUGUGGAGGAACACCAGUGGCGAAGGCGACUCUCCGGUCUGUAACUGACGCUGAGGAGCGAAAGCGUGGGGAGCGAACAGGAUUAGAUACCCCUGUAGUCCCUGUCUCUUAUAC
rnacentral:rRNA from 1 species